GUCGUCUCUCUCUCCCUCCCAGUCGGUCCAAUUCCUGGGUUUCGACAUCGAUUCGAAGAAAUGCGUACUACGCCCUCCAUCGAAAAAGAUAGCCUCGAUAAGGAAGGAAAUCAGACGAGUCCUGAGGAUGGACACAAUACUGCUCAGGAUGCUCGCUCGAAUUGUAGGACUCCUUUCCUCAUCCAUACAAGCGAUAUUCCCAGGCCCUCUACAGGGCCAUGCAACGGCUGAAAGCGGGAUACCUGUGCACCAGACACUCCUACGACCACUGGAUCCCACUCUCGUCGGAAGUGAGGUCGGAACUGUGAUGGUGGUUACUACAUAUACAAGCCUGGAACGGCAAAGCGAUCUUCGGCCCUUCGCGGGACUUCAUAGUGGAAUCGGACGCCAGCUUGUGGGGAUGGGGCGCUCAUUGCGCUUACGCCUCCACGGGAAGCCCAUGGCAGGAAGAGGAGACCAACCUACACAUCAACUGCCUGGAACUGAUCGCGG